rnacentral:rRNA from 1 species
CUGCGGAAGGAUCAUAGUUCAGGAGAGGUCGGUCCUUCGGGGCUCCUCGUCUCACUCUGGAUGCAAUGCAUCUCCGGAUGCUAGUCUUGGCCCCACGGCCUUGACACCCUUUGUAAUCCUUGACACGCUUAUUCGAAAUCCGAGAGAUAUCACAACCAGUAGCGUUGGAUCCCUUGGCACGUCAUUCGAUGAAGACCGUUGCAAAAUGCGAUAAGUGGUGUGAUAUGCAAGUCCAAAACUUAUACGUGAACCAUCGAAUUGUUGAACGCACUGCAUCGAGCCUUACCCAGGAACGAUACGCCCCAUUGAGCGUCAUUAUGUCUUCGUGACCUGUCUUCUUCUUGAGGACCUGUCCGGGUUCGGGAUCCACGGCCUUUGGGUCGCGUUUCCUCAGAUGCAUGGAUGUGCCGGAAUGCACGGUGACCUUGUCAUGAAUGCCGAGGUGGCCUCUGCAACGCCGGUGCCGGAUCCUCUGCCCUGCAUUGGAUCAACUGCAGCCUGCUGCACUCCUAUACAUGACCUCACGGGGGUGGGACGACCCGCUAGACUUAAGCAUAUUAAUCAGCGGAGGAAAAGAAACUAACAAGG